GUAGGAGGGGAGCAGGGAUUGGGACUGCGGUGAUAAACAAACACACGCAGUGCUGUCGUUAGUAUCUUGUCGAGCUCUGUUGCUACGCUUUGGCAGCACCGGAUGACUUUCAGAAAAGCUGACCUUCUUCACGGACCAAGCAUUAAAGUCAAGACCGGGUUAAAAAUCCAGGACUUUAUCUAAUAAAACCCCAGGAUUGGUGUCCCCUUCUUCCUCCCUCCCUCCUCCCCCCGGUGUCAGCUUAUGUGACACAUUAACGUCCCGGGCAGCGAAACGAGCGAAACAUGACGGAGCUGAGAAAGCGAGGCGGAGGCGGAGUAGACCCUGACAGCACCGAGAAUAUCAGCGAUAAGGAGGCCGAUGGGGAUGACAGGCUGGGCUUGCAAGGUGAUGCAGAGGGAGAAUGUGAUGGUGACUCCAAAGCAGACACGCCAGAUGUUCCUCUCCCCACAGCAGACACAGACAACACUCCACAAUACCUGAACAAAGCUCUGGAGGGUCUGCCGCCCAGAUGGAAGAACUACUGGAUACGAGGAGUUCUGUCUUUAGCCAUGAUUUCAGGCUUUUUUCUCAUCAUCUAUAUGGGACCUGUCGCUCUUAUAUUAGUGGUCAUGACUGUCCAAAUCAAGUGUUUCCAAGAAAUCAUCACCAUCGGCUACAGAGUUUACCAUUCCUAUGAGCUGCCUUGGUUCAGGACACUAAGCUGGUACUUCCUGAUAUGCGUCAACUACUUCUUCUAUGGGGAAACUGUUGCGGAUUACUUUGGGGCUCUGGUGCAGAGGGAGGAGCCUCUGCAGUUCCUGGCUCGCUAUCACCGCUUCAUCUCCUUCGCUUUGUACCUCGCAGGUUUCUGCAUGUUUGUGCUGAGUUUAGUGAAGAAACAUUACCGCCUGCAGUUUUAUAUGUUUGCUUGGACCCAUGUGACCCUGUUGAUUGUGGUAACUCAGUCCCACCUUGUCAUUCAGAACCUGUUUGAAGGAAUGAUCUGGUUCAUUGUCCCGAUCUCCAUUGUGAUAUGCAAUGACAUUAUGGCCUAUCUGUUUGGAUUCUUCUUUGGGAGGACUCCACUGAUCAAGCUCUCACCUAAGAAGACUUGGGAGGGCUUCAUCGGAGGUUUCUUUGCCACUGUGGUCUUUGGCUUUAUCUUGGCCUACCUCCUGUCUCAGUUCCAGUACUUUGUGUGUCCUGUGGGCGUUAACAGUGAGACCAAUGGGUUUACAGUUGAAUGUGAGCCUUCUGACAUAUUUGUGAUGCACGAAUACACUCUUCCUGCUGUGGUACAAAACACACUGAGAUGGAAAACGGUAAACCUGUACCCCUUCCAGAUCCACAGCAUCUUCCUUUCAUCCUUCGGGUCUCUCAUCGGGCCUUUCGGCGGCUUUUUUGCCAGCGGCUUCAAGCGAGCCUUCAAAAUCAAAGACUUUGCUAACACCAUCCCCGGCCACGGUGGCAUCAUGGAUCGAUUCGACUGCCAGUACCUGAUGGCCACCUUCACACACGUCUAUAUAGGCAGCUUCAUCAGGGGACCGAACCCAAGCAAGGUGCUACAGCAGCUGUUGAUGCUUCGGCCUGAACAGCAGCUCAGUAUUUUCCACACUCUGCACUCCCAGCUGAGAGAGAGGGGCAUGCUCCCCCAAGCUGCUGCCCAGGCUGAGUGAAAGAUGGUCAGCUUCACAGGGUGAUGACUGCAGAGUGUGUGAUGGUUUGGAAAGUUUGUCUCCAGGGCCUACGUCCAAACAUCUGUCUCCUUUCGACAUCAAAAAACUGAAAAAAAAUGAGGCGAGUUUGGAACUGGGCUGCAGACUGGACUGCUAACAUUUGCAUCCGUGGCCUGUGCAAUGUUCUGUUCACUUCCUUUAGUUGUUGGACGAAGAGGAUGUUUUAAUGUAUUUGUCCAGUUUGUUUUGUUCAUGUUUUCCUCAUACAUAGAAGUGCAUUUUAGGGUGUUUUCCAUUUAAAGUGAAUGGGGGUGCUGGGUGGAUUUUUGGGACCAGCUGUAUUGUACUGUAUAAAUGUAUAACUAAAGUCUCCAUCUGAGGCAAAACCCACACUACUGCUUUACAGGCUUGUCUGUGUCCAACCUACAUACUGAACAUGAUAAGGCAAAGCAUGUAGACAUGUGGACAGUGUUCACACUAAAGCAAUCAGACCAAAACUCAACACAAACAGCAGAUGGUCAAAUAUUUAGAUUUUUGUUUUUUUAAUGCUGUUGUCUGGAGUGUGCCACCAGAAUAAUUAAACAUUGUUAUUGGUAAAUUAAUCAAAAGCAUUAAAAAUCAAUGAAGUUAUUUGAAAUGUUUACAUUUAUGCUAUUUCAAAAACUUUGAAACAUGGAAACUAUAAAAAGUUAUACAAUUGUCAUCUAAUGUCUCAAAUAGUGUUGAAUGAAUUUAAAAAAAAAAUGUACAAAUGUUUCUGCUUUUAUUAGUUAGUUUACAUUUAAAAUGACUUAAAUUUAAAUACUUUUUAAUCAGUCAGUUUAUUGUUUUGUCUACAAAUCCUCUCACUUGAGGAGAGUUUUUGAAGGAUAAUGACUCAGUAAAUAGUUUAUUAAAAUAGUUGCUAAUGAUAUGUCAGUUAAUCAAUAAUCAACUAAUUGUUUCAGCUCUAGUUAGAAGACAUGCAAACAAAAUAAGAGAAGAAAAUUGUACGUAUUUUGCAAAUCCAUUUAAGAAAUUUAGUUUUAAAAGACAAUAAUGAAGUUAAACUAUUAAUUGUCAAAAUACAUACAUUACUUUAUACAGUGUCACUUAAAUGCAUGAGUGAAUGAUUGAUUAUAAUUAAGUGUAUUAUUCCAUGGGCACACUUUAGACUCCACAGAUUUACAGUUGUAGUUCAAAUUCGAUCGCAGUUGUGUGGACUAAUUUAUAUUUUUAUUCAAGUUAUGAAGGUAAAACACUUGUGGUACACAAAUGUAAAGGUAGGGAAGAAAAAGGUAGUUUAAGUAGCCCAGAUGUCAGGUUAUGAUGCACUGCAGAUGUUUGGUUGCUUGUCUUUUUUUAAUUUAUCAUGUUUGUGUAUGUUUGAUUUGCUUUGAGCAGAAAUGUUUUCUAAUGAAGAUCUAUAGCUUUUGGAGUGGAUAUGAUUAAAAAUGACACUGAGGAAGUAUGCUGUUAAUAAUAGGGGCAAUACAAAGUCAUGUAUAAACCAAAUAUUGAUACCUGUUAGGGAUAUUGUAAAGCUGUUUACUGUAUGGAGGUGAAAUAAAGAAUUUUUUUUUCUUU